UACGUAGGUGGCAAGCGUUGUCCGGAUUUACUGGGCGUAAAGAGCGCGCAGGCGGUCGUUCAAGUCGCGUGUGAAAGCCCCCGGCUCAACUGGGGAGGGUCACGCGAUACUGAUCGACUCGAAGGCAGGAGAGGGUAGUGGAAUUCCCGGUGUAGUGGUGAAAUGCGUAGAUAUGGGGAGGAACACCGGUGGCGAAGGCGGCCAUCUGGACGGCUAUUGACGCUGAGACGCGAAAGCGUGGGGAGCAAACAGG
rnacentral:rRNA from 1 species